GGGGGUUUAGCUCAGUGGUAGAGCACUUGCCUAGCAAGCUCAAGGUCCUGGGUUCGGUCCCCAGCUCCA
rnacentral:tRNA from 1 species